CCUCCUUUUCUAUCUCUCUCCGCCGCACCCUUCUCUCCAAAAUCCAAAUCCCUAACCUCCGCCGCCUCCGUGCCUCGCCUGCUCCAAGCAACCAACGGACCAAGCCGCCUUCGUGGUGCGACGACGCAGCAGACUCGAAUGCCGACUUCCGCCUCUCCCCCGCCCUCCCCUGCGACAGAUCCAGUAGACUCGAACGCUUGUGCUUGUGUCUCGGUCUAGAUCUACGAUUUGGGUCUUGGUCGUCCUCCUUCCACAGCGGCACUGAAAUUGCAAGAUCUACUUCUCUGACCAGGUUCUUGAUCUUUAUUUCUUAUUUUUCUCACCAUAGUCUUUUAUACUACUGGUUUUCUUGGUGCUGCCUGCCUCUUUUGCAGUUCCGAGAGUGGAAUUACCAUAGGAGAGUAUGCUAAUGAAGAUGAAGAUGCUGGUGGGAAUGGAUGUGGAAGACGAUGAAGGAGCGGCUGGUCAGCAGCAGGAUUCGUCUUUGGCUUUCAUCGAUGACUUCAAUCACAAUUGCACUCUCUCCCCGAAGCAGAACUGCUAGCACUUAAAGCCCAUGGUAAAGGACACAAAAUACUAUGAAAUAUUGGGGGUUGGGGUGGGUGCCACGCCCGCAGGCGGUUCAUCAUCCAAAAUGUUGGUAUGCCCAAACAGAGUAGUACAAUGAUAAGGAACCAGGAGGGGUUCAUAGCAAUGGUCCUGUUCUUGAUGAAGUUCUACUGUCUGACCCAGAGUUAUCUGAUGCAAUUGAGAAUGAAAAGGUGGUGAACAAAACAAUUCAAAUUUAUAAUAUUGACCGUGCCACUUGUGGACCGCAUAGCUGGUGUUAUUGCGAAGAAAUACGGUGACACUGGUUUUGCUGGGUAGCUUAACAUAACAUUCAUAGGGAGUGGUGGGCAGUCAUUUGGUUGUUUUUUGACACCUGGAAAGAACAUCCGUCUUGUAGGAGAAGCUAAUGACUAUGUGGGGAAGGUUGGUUCAUUAAUUUUCUAAUACCAUGUGUAGAGCACAUUUAUCUCUCAAACAUAAGCUUAAAAGGAUAAAAUUUUUGUUAAACACCAAGUGCUUCUGAUAGUUUCAUUGUGAUUAAGUGUUUAUUAUUCACCUAUUUAUUA